GUAGGGGGCGAGCGUUGUCCGGAUUUAUUGGGCGUAAAGAGCGUGUAGGCGGCCAAGCAGGUCCGCUGUGAAAACUCGAGGCUUAACCUCGAGACGUCGGUGGAAACCGUUUGGCUAGAGUCCGGAAGAGGAGAGUGGAAUUCCCGGUGUAGCGGUGAAAUGCGCAGAUAUCGGGAAGAACACCCGUGGCGAAGGCGGCUCUCUGGGACGGUACUGACGCUGAGACGCGAAAGCGUGGGGAGCGAACAGGAUUAGAUACCCUGGUAGUCCACGCCGUAAACGAUGGGUGCUAGGUGUGGGCGGUGUCGACUCCGUCCGUGCCGAAGCUAACGCAUUAAGCACCCCGCCUGGGGAGUACGGCCGCAAGGCUAAA
rnacentral:rRNA from 1 species